AUCAUUUUUAAUUCAUCAUAUACAUAUAGAUCAUAUUAACUGGCCAGAUUCAGUCCCAACCAAUGAUCAGUUAGCAAGGCAGUUAGGUCAGGUCUGUACAGUAAGAAAGAGGACGUGUAUACUAAGGAAUAAAGGAAUGGAAAAUUUAGCAUGGUAUACACAAUAGCGAAGGAACUCACUCUAUGAGUCACAGGAACCAAAUGUAGGAUUUUUGUCCUCUGUGAUGCGAACGCAGCAUGAAUUUAAUGUUCCUCGCCCGCGGCCGCGUCCCACUUUGAGAAUAGAGAAAUCGAGCUUAUCACAGAGAAGGUAAAUUUUGAAGCGGCUCAUCGUUGAGUUUACCCACCUCUUCAAAAACCUUUACCCGAUGAUCCCUUCUGUGUGUUUGCAAUGAACUACUCCAUGGGAUUUUCCGCCUCACACAAUGGAUACCUUG